rnacentral:rRNA from 1 species
UACGAAGGGGGCUAGCGUUGUUCGGAAUUACUGGGCGUAAAGCGCACGUAGGCGGAUUGUUAAGUCAGGGGUGAAAUCCCGGGGCUCAACUCCAGAACUGCCUUUGAUACUGGGAGGCUCGAGUCCGGAAGAGGUGAGUGGAACUGCGAGUGUAGAGGUGAAAUUCGUAGAUAUUCGCAAGAACACCAGUGGCGAAGGCGGCUCACUGGUCCGGUACUGACGCUGAGGUGCGAAAGCGUGGGGAGCAAACAGG